rnacentral:rRNA from 1 species
CCUACGGGAGGCAGCAGUGAGGAAUAUUGGUCAAUGGUCGCGAGCCUGAACCAGCCAAGUAGCGUGAAGGAUGACUGCCCUACGGGUUGUAAACUUCUUUUAUAAGGGAAUAAAGUGAGGCAUGUGUGCCCUGUUGUAUGUACUUGAUGAAUAAGGAUCGGCUAACUCCGUGCCAGCAGCCGCGGUAAUACGGAGGAUCCGAGCGUUAUCCGGAUUUAUUGGGUUUAAAGGGAGCGUAGAUGGGUUGUUAAGUCAGUUGUGAAAGUUUGCGGCUCAACCGUAAAAUUGCAAUUGAUACUGGCAGUCUUGAGUACAGUUGAGGUAGGCGGAAUUCGUGGUGUAGCGGUGAAAUGCAUAGAUAUCACGAAGAACUCCGAUUGCGAAGGCAGCUUACUAACCUGCCACUGACAUUGAUGCUCGAAAGUGUGGGUAUCAAACAGGAUUAGAUACCCUAGUAGUC